AAAAAAACAACAACGAGUCAAAAUCAGGGAAACACAGAAUUGACACUGAACCCAGACCCUGAAUAUGCAGCAAUAGACAACAUCAAGAGAGACCCCCCAGGGCAGGCCUCUGAGGAGCCUGGUGCUGAUGUCACCUACAGCUCCAUUGUCCUGUCAGAUCCAGAGGUGUCCUCUAGAUGUUCUUCACACCGUCCUGCUGUAACCCCAGCCAGCGAUGUGGUCUACAGCUCAGUCGCCCUGAAGCACAGAGAGUAGGGGGCAGCAACACAGAGAGGCUCCUCAACAUGUGGGGAGCUGCUGCUCAGGAUGAGAGCUGUGAGGGACACACAGAUACUGCAGUGAUGGG